ensembl:piRNA 21ur-3996 ncRNA
UUGGAUCAAAAAACAAAAACU